rnacentral:rRNA from 1 species
AAGUCGAACGGUGAACACGGAGCUUGCUCUGUGGGAUCAGUGGCGAACGGGUGAGUAACACGUGAGCAACCUGCCCCUGACUCUGGGAUAAGCGCUGGAAACGGCGUCUAAUACUGGAUAUGUGACGUGACCGCAUGGUCUGCGUUUGGAAAGAUUUUUCGGUUGGGGAUGGGCUCGCGGCCUAUCAGCUUGUUGGUGAGGUAAUGGCUCACCAAGGCGUCGACGGGUAGCCGGCCUGAGAGGGUGACCGGCCACACUGGGACUGAGACACGGCCCAGACUCCUACGGGAGGCAGCAGUGGGGAAUAUUGCACAAUGGGCGAAAGCCUGAUGCAGCAACGCCGCGUGAGGGAUGACGGCCUUCGCC